rfam:Oryza sativa Japonica Group DNA, chromosome 7, cultivar: Nipponbare, complete sequence.
AAAAAGGCAAACCCUUGGUUUCCGUGUCCAACUUUGACUGUCCGUCUUAUAUGAAAUUUUUUUAUAAUUCGUAUUUUCAUUGUUGUUAGAUGAUAAAACAUAAUUAAUAUUUUAUGUGUAACUUGUCUUUUUAAUUUUUUUUAUAAUUUUUUCAAAUAAGACGGACGAUCAAACAUCGUAUACGGAAACCAGAGUUUGUCUUUUUU